rnacentral:lncRNA from 1 species
CGGCGAGGGACUACAUGUGGCGGAGCUAGUCCACUGUGACGUAGUAUAUGCGGUUGAGGAGAACAAUGGCAUAGGUGGCAGGAGGGGGAGGAAACAUGGGUGACAAGAAAUGGUGGUGUAGGAGAAAAAGAUUUGGUUCAAAUCUAAUUCACAUAAGAGAAAGAGGUGAGAACGAGGAAGGGGAAAGAGGAGAAUGAAGGUUAGGAAUUUGAGAACCAUCUAUUUACAAAUAAAAAUAAAUAAAAACUACUUUAUAUACCAAUUAUAAUUAAAAUCGAUGUAGAAAUUUUCUUAUUUAUUACAAAAACGUCAUCGUGUUCAAUUUCUAUACCAAUUAUAACUAAAACCUGAACAAGAUCAUAUGUUGGUGCUUCUAGGAAGAAAACGAGAGAGAAGCAUCACAAACCUCAACAUAAAUCUAUGUGGGUGUUUCCAAAGAUAAAAGAAGAAAAAAAACUACAAAAACUUUGUUUUUCAUUGGAGAAACAAGUUCCGCACAAUGCAAAAAGCAAUAAUAACUUUCAAGGGUAAGUAAAAAUGACGAAAAUAAUCAUAUUCAGGAUAAU